UAACCAAUAUAGAAACUUAUGCGCACGGAAAUUUUCGUGUGUAAAUUGACUGUCUUUGCUAACUAGAUUCAUGCUGAAAAUUAUGAAUAUUUUCAACUUACAGUAGAUAAAGUCAUAAAAUUUUUUUUUUACAAGAAUUCCG